GUUGGACCGUCUUCCAUAUAUCUACUGACUUCAUAUAAAUGAAAGUCUCGCUGAUCUGCACUACCAGCUCGUUCAACGUUACUGAACAACAAAGUAAUCCGACAAUCAGACUGGACCCGGUCACGUUAGAUACCAGUGGAAGGAGAUGAACAUACAAUUGACUCCGCAUCGAUGCAUGACUUCGCCCGGAACGCGGCAAGAAAAAAACAAUGGAAGAAAAUACUACAGACGUGUUUAUUAACAAUAAAGUUAUUUUUGUUUUUAUGAAAUAGCGAUUGAAUAAAAAUAUUAGGUAUAUGAGUUUUAUUUAG
rnacentral:lncRNA from 1 species